rnacentral:rRNA from 1 species
UACGAAGGGGGCUAGCGUUGCUCGGAAUCACUGGGCGUAAAGCGCACGUAGGCGGAUUGCUAAGUCAGGGGUGAAAUCCUGGAGCUCAACUCCAGAACUGCCUUUGAUACUGGCGAUCUCGAGUCCGGGAGAGGUGAGUGGAACUGCGAGUGUAGAGGUGAAAUUCGUAGAUAUUCGCAAGAACACCAGUGGCGAAGGCGGCUCACUGGCCCGGUACUGACGCUGAGGCACGAAGGUCAGGGGAGCGAAACGGG